GUGCCAGCAGCUGCGGUAAUACGAAGGGGGCUAGCGUUGUUCGGAAUUACUGGGCGUAAAGCGCACGUAGGCGGAUUGUUAAGUGAGGGUGAAAUCCCGGGGCUCAACCCCGGAACUGCCUUUCAUACUGGCAAUCUCGAGUCCGAGAGAGGUGAGUGGAAUUCCGAGUGUAGAGGUGAAAUUCGUAGAUAUUCGGAGGAACACCAGUGGCGAAGGCGGCUCACUGGCUCGGUACUGACGCUGAGGUG
rnacentral:rRNA from 1 species